rnacentral:misc_RNA from 1 species
AACGGUCUAUACCUGCGGUACCUGCGGAGGGAUCAUUACCGAGUAAGGGCCCUCUGGGUCCAACCUCCCACCCGUGUUUAUUUUACCUUGUUGCUUCGGUGGGCCCGCCGAGAGGCCGCUUGGGACUUCUGUCCCGGGCCCGUGCCCACCGGAGACCAACUGAACUCUGUCUGAAUGUUGCAGUCUGAGUAUAUAACUAAAUUAGUUAAAACUUUCAGCAAUGGAUCUCUAGAUCGGAAG